GCCUGGGUGGCUCAGUGGUUGAGUGUCUGCCUUGGGCUCAGGUCAUGACCCCAGGGUCUCGGGAUCGAAUCCCGCAUUGGGCU
rnacentral:tRNA from 1 species